rnacentral:rRNA from 1 species
AGAAUCAACGCCGGCGGCGUGCCUCAGACAUGCAAGUCGAACGAGAAAGUCCCCUUCGGGGGAUAAGUAAAGUGGCGCACGGGUGAGUAACACGUAGGUAAUCUACCUUCGGGUGGGGAAUAACCCAGGGAAACUUGGGCUAACACCGCAUAAUGCAGCGGCACCACAUGGUGACAGUUGUUAAAGCGGGGGAUUUUCGGACCUCGCGCCUGAAGAGGAGCCUGCGGCGGAUUAGCUAGUUGGUAAGGUAAUGGCUUACCAAGGCUACGAUCC